GGAGAGGUGGCUCAGUAGUUAAGAGCACUUGCUGCUCUUGCAGAGGACCUGGGUUUGAUUCCCAGCCCCCA
rfam:Rattus norvegicus chromosome 10, whole genome shotgun sequence.